AUUGAACGCUGGCGGCAUGCCUUACACAUGCAAGUCGAACGGUAACAGGUCUUCGGAUGCUGACGAGUGGCGAACGGGUGAGUAAUACAUCGGAACGUGCCCGAUCGUGGGGGAUAACGCAGCGAAAGCUGUGCUAAUACCGCAUACGAUCUACGGAUGAAAGCGGGGGAUCGCAAGACCUCGCGCGGACGGAGCGGCCGAUGGCAGAUUAGGUAGUUGGUGGGAUAAAAGCUUACCAAGCCGACGAUCUGUAGCUGGUCUGAGAGGACGAUCAGCCACACUGGGACUGAGACACGGCCCAGACUCCUACGGGAGGCAGCAGUAGGGAAUAUUGGGCAAUGGGGGAAACCCUGACCCAGCGACGCCGCGUGGAGGAAGGAGCCCUUCGGGGUGUAAACUCCUGUUGUAAGGGAAGAAGACAGUGACGGUACCUUACGAGGAAGCCCCGGCAAACUACGUG
rnacentral:rRNA from 1 species